GUGCUCGCUUCGGCGGCACAUAUACUAAAAUUGGAACGAUACAGAGAAGAUUAGCAUUGCCCCCACCCCACCCCCAAGGAUGACAUGCAAAUUUGUGAAGCGUUCCACAUUUAA
rnacentral:snRNA from 1 species